UACGAAGGGGGCUAGCGUUGCUCGGAAUCACUGGGCGUAAAGGGUGCGUAGGCGGGUCUUUAAGUCAGGGGUGAAAUCCUGGAGCUCAACUCCAGAACUGCCUUUGAUACUGAAGAUCUUGAGUUCGGGAGAGGUGAGUGGAACUGCGAGUGUAGAGGUGAAAUUCGUAGAUAUUCGCAAGAACACCCGUGGCGAAGGCGGCUCUCUAGUACGGUACUGACGCUGAGACGCGAAAGCGUGGGGAGCGAACAGG
rnacentral:rRNA from 1 species